GUGUGUGUAGUGGAUUUUCCAUUGGUUGUGCACGUCAAAUUUAGCUGGUUGCCGAAUUGGUUAGACAAGCAGGAAGCAGGCUCGGUGUUACAGCUCCAUUUUCCAGUAGGCACACAAGACAAAUAAUGGCACCACGAACAAUGUUCAUUUGCAUCAACUCCCCGUAGAAGCAGAACCAGGCCAAUAGUAAACCCGACAAUGACAAUGAUAAGAGAAAUGAUCCACAAUAUGCACUGAUAGGCCUUGAAUUUAGAUUUAACUGAAACUGGAAAAUAUCCACGAGGAGCAUAUCUUUGGCCAACCCAUCCAAACUGUGGGCGUAUCAGAAAUACAAACCCAAGAAAGAAACCAGAAAGAAAUCCUCCAAUAUGGGCAAAGUUGUCAACAUGUGGUAGAAUUCCUACUGCUAAAUUGAUUACAAUGAUGACCAAAAGAGUGAUGAAAGCUGCUACCUUGUUGGUAUAUAUUGACCAAUUAGUGAUGAGUUCAGAAAGCAUUGCCCCAAGUAGACCAAAAAGUGCACCAGAAGCACCAACAGAGAUAUUUGAUUGGAUGAAAAGAGCUGACAACAAACUCCCACCAAAUCCAGAGAUGACAUAUAGCAAUCCAAUCUUAACAAAUCCAAAUUCUUGUUCAAGCCGAAUCCCAAUAACUAAAAGACUCAGCAUAUUUGCCAACAAAUGAAAAACUCCUCCAUGUAACCAAUUGCAGGUGAGGAGACGCCAUCCCUGGUGCUCAUCAACCACCUUAGUCACAUCUAAAGCCCCCAAAUUCUGCAGCGUGGUCGAAGAAGGGCCGAGAAGUGGAUUCUCCUUAAAAGGCUGAAAGGAAAAUCUACCCAGAAAACGAGCAAUGCAAGAGACAGAAUUCUUGGGACAGUUAUUGACAUACAUGGUGAUAAUGAACAUAACAAUAUUGGCAAUGACAAAAGCAGGUAUAAUCCAAGGUACCCAUUUCUUGAAAUGCUUAACUUCUGUGUACAAAGCUGGACUCUGAGACAGCAAUUGAGGAGUGCCUCUUUCUAGUGGGUGUAUAACGUUGUUUGCCCUCUUGGAAUUGACCCUGAUUUGGAUCUCCGGCGAUGGAGAAGGAGGAGCAGGAUGAUGCUCCCUCUCCAUUGCGGGGUAUACAGAAACAAAGUGAAUAAUCGUCAAUCAGCAAGAAGAAGAUGUGAAAGAGGAGGAUUCUCAAUGUGAAGAGAGAUAGAGGCAGAGGGGAAAG
rnacentral:misc_RNA from 1 species